rnacentral:rRNA from 1 species
CGCUGGCGGCGCGUUUAAGCAUGCAAGUCGAGCGGCAGGGGGCUCGGUCCCCGAGAGCGGCGGACGGGUGAGUAACACGUGGACAACCUGCCCCCCGGUUCGGGAUAGCCCAGGGAAACCUGGAUCAAUACCGGAUGCGAGGGCGGCCGCACAAGCGGCCGUCGGGAAAGGCGCUUCGGCGCCGCCGGGGGAUGGGUCCGCGUCCCAUUAGCUAGACGGUGGGGUAACGGCCCACCGUGGCGGAUGAUGGGUAGCCGGCCUGAGAGGGUGGACGGCCACAUUGGAACUGAGACACGGUCCAGACUCCUACGGGAGGCAGCAGCUAAGAUCUUCCGCAAUGGGCGAAAGCCUGGACGGAGCGACGCCGCCGUGAACGAAGAAGGCCGUGAGGUUGUAAAGUUCUUUUCGGGAGGGGGAACGAGGCUGCCAGGCAAUGGGGCGGCCGAUGACGUGAAUCCCGGAAUAAGCCCCGGCUAACUACGUGCCAGCAGCUGC